rnacentral:tRNA from 3 species
GGCGACGUAGCCAAGUGGUAAGGCAGGGGUCUGCAAAACCCUUAUUCGCCGGUUCGAUUCCGGCCGUCGCCU